rnacentral:RNase_P_RNA from 1 species
AGGACAAGCUGGGCAGUCGCGGCGAACGUGUUUUCGUCGAGGAAGGUCCGGACUCCACAGGGCGGGAUAGCGGCUAACAGCCGCCCGGCGCGGGCUUGCCCGUACCGAGGAAUAGGGCCACAGAGACGAGACUGCAACGCGGGUGCGCUUGGCGCACACUGGCACGGCCACUUCCGUGCGGCGCGUGUUGCUUGCAGCACGCAGCGUAGCAGGGUGAAACGCGGUAACCUCUAUCCGGAGCAACAUCAAAUAGGCAUGCGCAAGCCCUUGGGCUUACAGGGCGGCCCGCCCAAGCAUGCGGGUAGAUGGCUAGAGCGCGCCAGCAAUGACGCGCCCAGAGGAAUGAUUGCCCGCCGGGCUUGCCCGGCGUACAGAAUCCGGCCUAUAGGUUUGUCCUGCCU